UAACGACUCUCGGCAACGGAUAUCUCGGCUCUCGCAUCGAUGAAGAACGUAGCGAAAUGCGAUACUUGGUGUGAAUUGCAGAAUCCCGCGAAUCAUCGAGUCUUUGAACGCAAGUUGCGCCCGAAGCCAUCUGGUCGAGGGCACGUCUGCCUGGGCGUCACGC
rnacentral:rRNA from 2 species